UCUGGCCCCAGGCCCGAGUUUGUMAUUGUGCAGAGGAUGCUUUUGGUGCGGUGCCUUCCAAAGUUCCCUAGAACGGGACGCCAGAAGAUGGGUGAGAGCCCCGUACAGUUGGACACCAAGCCUUUGUAAAGCUCCUUCGACGAGUCGAGUAGUUUGGGAAUGCUGCUCAAAAUGGGAGGUAUAUUUCUUCUAAAGCUAAAUACCGGCCAGAGACCGAUAGCGCACAAGUAGAGUGAUCGAAAGAUGAAAAGCACUUUGAAAAGAGGGUUAAACAGCACAGUGAAAUUGUUAAAAGGGAAGCGCUUGUGACCAGACAUUGCGUCCGGUGAAUCACCCAGCUCUCGCGGCUGGGGCACUUCGCCGGCUCAGGCCACGCAUCAGCUCGCUGUCGGGGACACAAAGCUUCAGGAACGUAGCUCUCUCCGGGGAGUGUUAUAGCCUAGUUGCACAAUACCCU
rnacentral:rRNA from 1 species